rnacentral:rRNA from 1 species
UACGUAGGGUGCAAGCGUUAAUCGGAAUUACUGGGCGUAAAGCGCACGUAGGCGGCUUUGUAAGUUAGAGGUGAAAGCCCGGGGCUCAACCCCGGAAUUGCCUUUAAGACUGCAUCGCUUGAAUCCGGGAGAGGUGAGUGGACUUCCGAGUGUAGAGGUGAAAUUCGUAGAUAUUCGGAAGAACACCAGUGGCGAAGGCGGCUCACUGGACCGGUAGUGACGCUGAGGGGCGAAAGCGGGGGGAGCAAACAGG